GAAUUCCACGGGUAUACAGUCAUAAAUUGCAAUUUAAAUAAAAGCGUUUCAGUGCCUACAAGACCCAGGCUCCAAAUUGAGGGCUUUGGGGUGAUGGGGAUCUUCUUCUGCUUGUUUCUUUUUUACUUAAACCACAUUGGAAGGUAAGAAUUUUCAGGAGGAAAAACAUUGUCUUACUUCCGUGUUGCCCACCUGCUCUGUAUUUUAGCUGAACUUC
rnacentral:lncRNA from 1 species